AUAACCGCAACUGCUGGCACAAAAUUUGUUAUUAAUUUAAAUAUUUCUAAAUCUUAAGUUCUUAAAUUUUUAAUAAUAUUUACUACUUAUAUUUAAUUAAUUUAUUAUUAAAAUAAAUAAAAAUUAUUACUAAAAUUUAUAUAUAAAAUAAAUUUAUAAAUAAAUUAUUCUAAACCAUAAAAAAUUUUUUU
rnacentral:rRNA from 1 species